CCAACAAAAAGAGUAAUAAAAAUAUAUAAAGGCAGCCCACAAAUUAGUAAGAAAAUGAGCAGCAAACAGAACAGUAGAAAAACGAUGGGAAAAUUUUUUUUCAAAAUAUAAAAAAAGUAAUUGACACGGUUAUGUAAGACUGAACUUCACACAUGAAUUAAUAAAGCAGUGAGCCAGACUUUCCUUCCUCGUGUGAUUCAGCCCCGCAGUUGGGGUGGCGGGGGGGCGGGUAGGGAGCGAGUUCUUUAACACUGAGCGCUCUGGACUGGCUUUCAAUAUUAGACAUCCGGAGUUUUUGAAAAUUAACACUGGAACAAAAGUGACUAUCAUACUCCAUGUCCCCUUCACCCGCCCUCAGUCACAACUUUAUUUUAAGGUUUCUUUGAGGCUGAUUAAAAAAAAAAAAAAAAAACAACCUAA
rnacentral:lncRNA from 1 species